rnacentral:rRNA from 1 species
GCGCAGCAGUCGCGAAACCUCCGCAAUACACGAAAGUGUGACGGGCCAUCCCGAGUGCCGUCCGCUGAGGACGGCUUUUCCCCAGUGUACACAGCUGGGGGAAUAAGGAGAGGGCAAGCCUGGUGUCAGCCGCCGCGGUAAUACCAGCUCUCCGAGUGGUGGGACGCUUAUUGGGCCUAAAGCAUCCGUAGCCGGCUGGGCAAGUCCUCCGUUAAAAUCCAACGAUUCAAUCGUUGGCUGCGGGGAUACUGUCCAGCUUGGGGGCGGGAGGGGCCGACGGUAUUCCCGGGGUAGGGUGAAAUCCUAAUAAUCCCGGGAGGACCACCAGUGGCGAAGGCUGUCGGCUAGAACGCGCCCGACGGUGAGGGAUGAAAGC